rnacentral:rRNA from 1 species
UACAGAGGGGGCAAGCGUUAUUCGGAAUUAUUGGGCGUAAAGGGCGCGUAGGCGGCCUGGCAAGUGGAAGGUGAAAUCCCUCGGCUUAACCGAGGAACUGCCUCCCAAACUGCUUGGCUUGAGACCGGGAGAGGUGAGUGGAAUUCCCAGUGUAGCGGUGAAAUGCGUAGAUAUUGGGAGGAACACCAGUGGCGAAGGCGGCUCACUGGACCGGUACUGACGCUGAGGCGCGAAAGCCAGGGGAGCAAACAGG